GCCAUUUUCGAGUGAUGCCUGAUCUCAUCAAUCUAGCGGGAGGGAAGGGAUAACCUGUCCGAGCGUAGCGCGACGCUAGGAUCGCGCCGGAAAAUCCCCCAAAAAUCAUCAAAAAAAUUAACUUACACCAGAGGGCAGUCGGCGGGGCUUCGCCAGAUGCGGCGCAGUCGAUUUUAACCGUUAGAAGAGUACCAGUUCUGGAAAACAACCAAAGUUUCUUUGAUUGAAUGCCCAUGUAAUGCAUUGGAAUAUGAUAGGCGAUUAAGGUUUAACAAUGUUAAAAUGAAGAUAUUACUAAAAUGACCCUCUAAAUAGCCCAACAAUUAUUAUUUUCUUUGUCCUGUGGAUUUGGCUUUGAAGGGUGUGCUGCUCUUAAUAAGUCUCUCUCUCGGGCAGAAACCUAUGUGUUCCUCUUCCAGAGAGCUAGUGAAGCCAAAAGCAUUCUCAUAAUGAUGG
rnacentral:lncRNA from 1 species